rnacentral:lncRNA from 1 species
GAAUAUUUGUGGAGACCGCAACCAACUACGACGGAAUGUAGGAUGGCUAUGUAUCGCUUUUGCGACUAAAGUUGCAGGCUCGACAAAAAGGGAGAAAUAUUAAAAACAAGAAAAAUAUCUGAAAAAACUGAAGAAAAUAAAACAUAGUAAAUUAACUAACAUGCGAUACAAAAUUUCAAGAAAUUCCAUCAAGUAAUAUGGGAGAAUAUUACAGCACACACAACUAUAUAAAUCGAGAUAUAAAUGUUGAAAAAUAAACUUUGAAGUCCAAAGAG